UACGGAGGGGGCUAGCGUUGUUCGGAAUUACUGGGCGUAAAGCGCGCGUAGGCGGCAGCGUGUGUCGGGCGUGAAAUCCCACGGCUCAACCGUGGAAGUGCACUCGAAACUGCGCAGCUGGAGUCUCGGAGAGGAAGGCGGAAUGCUUGGUGUAGAGGUGAAAUUCGUAGAUAUCAAGCGGAACACCGGUGGCGAAGGCGGCCUUCUGGACGAUGACUGACGCUGAAGCGCGAAAGCGUGGGGAGCAAACAGG
rnacentral:rRNA from 1 species